AAAUUGAAGAGUUUGAUCAUGGCUCAGAUUGAACGCUGGCGGCAGGCCUAACACAUGCAAGUCGAACGGUAACAGGAAGCAGCUUGCUGCUUUGCUGACGAGUGGCGGACGGGUGAGUAAUGUCUGGGAAACUGCCUGAUGGAGGGGGAUAACUACUGGAAACGGUAGCUAAUACCGCAUAAUGUCGCAAGACCAAAGAGGGGGACCUUCGGGCCUCUUGCCAUCGGAUGUGCCCAGAUGGGAUUAGCUAGUAGGUGGGGUAACGGCUCACCUAGGCGACGAUCCCUAGCUGGUCUGAGAGGAUGACCAGCCACACUGGAACUGAGACACGGUCCAGACUCCUACGGGAGGCAGCAGUGGGGAAUAUUGCACAAUGGGCGCAAGCCUGAUGCAGCCAUGCCGCGUGUAUGAAGAAGGCCUUCGGGUUGUAAAGUACUUUCAGCGGGGAGGAAGGUGUUGAGGUUAAUAACCUCAGC
rnacentral:rRNA from 1 species